UAGCAGUGAUGUCAAUUUCUUUGUCUGAACAACCGUGUGGUUUACAAUGAGCUUUUUAACACUGAGCAGA